UGCCAGCAGCCGCGGUAAUACGGAGGGUGCAAGCGUUAAUCGGAAUCACUGGGCGUAAAGGGCGCGUAGGCGGUUUGAUAAGUCGGAUGUGAAAGCCCCGGGCUCAACCUGGGAAUUGCGUUCGAUACUGUCAGGCUAGAGUGUGGUAGAGGGAAGCGGAAUUCCGGGUGUAGCGGUGAAAUGCGUAGAUAUCCGGAGGAACACCAGUGGCGAAGGCGGCUUCCUGGACCAACACUGACGCUGAGGCGCGAAAGCGUGGGGAGCAAACAGGAUUAGAUA
rnacentral:rRNA from 1 species